UUUCCCAUUUGACUACCACAUUUUCUCCUAAUCAUAGAUUUUAGUGGCUAUGCUUAUGGGAUAGAUUAAACUUGCCAUGAUCUGAAGAGGGAGGGUUUUUUUAUGUCCUCCUCCUAUAUGAAAUGGCUGAACAGAUAUUA
rnacentral:snoRNA from 1 species